GGGCGUUUAGCUCAGCUGGGAGAGCAUCUGUUUGACGUACAGAAGGUCAUAGGUUCGAUCCCUAUAGCGCCCA
rnacentral:tRNA from 1 species